UUUAGAGCAAUUUAUUUUUAAUGAUCUUUUAAUCGUCUUUUAAAGCUCUCAGAAACAUCUUAGAAAGAGCUCGAUUAAAGCUCUUAUAAAGAUCUUUUAAAGAUCUAAGAAACAUCUUGGAAAUAUCUUAGAAACAUCUGCUAACCAUCAUUCUAAAUAUCAAGCGUCUUGAAAAGAUCUUAAAAGCGUCUUCAAAACGGCUGGGCUCGUACGUCUCAGAUACGUAAUUCAUAUGGGCAAACGACUUUUAUAAUACGUUUUCCAGACGGAAUGGAAAUCUGAGUGAUUACCUCGCAGAUACGUAUCUGAGACGUACGUGUGCUAUCUGGGAAAUGUUACCUGUUGUAAAGUAACACUAAACCUUCAUAUGUGAUCAGAUGUCAUGCAGUGAUAUUAAACAUUUACAAUGUGAUCUGUUGUGCAUUUAUAUUAAACCUUUACAAUGUGAUCAGAUGUUGUGCAGUUAUAUUAAACCUUUACUAUGUGAUCAGGGCUGCGUUCAGCCCCGACAAAACAUUGCACAACGUUUAUUAAACAGAAACGGUGAUGCAUUGAACACCCUGUUGUGAUGACGCAAGAGUUGCAACUACGGUAGCUGAGAGGCCAUUCUUUGUGUUCUUUUUUAAUUGUUUCUAAAGCCUGAUGAAAUCGUUAUAAAUGUGUGUUUAAUACUGUAAAAUACCCUCGAUGUUACAGUCACUGACCUUGCCGUCCAGAAUGAAAUACAACAUUCCAACUCGAACCCAUUGAGCGAGCUGUCUCUUUACUACCGCGUGGUUUUAUACAUCUUGCCGCUGAUUGGGCCGACAUUUCUGACACACCCACCAAACAAGAGAAAACGCUUCUAAAACCUGUUGCAUUCCGUUGCACACCGUUUCCAGGAAACAUGUCGUUCAACCCGGAAACCGUAGCAAAACGUUGCGCACCGGUGUGAGAUUGAACGUGCCCCAGAUGUUACCUGCCAUGCAGCUAUUCACCUUAUUUUUCACGACAACAAGGGCGGCGCCAUUUCGCUCAUUUUGUCAACGUUCUUCCGGCCGCAUAGACGAUGAGCAGCUGAGGCAGUGACUGAAGGCGACGUGUUAAGCUUAAAAAGCUCACUCGAGCGCCUUUAUGUUUCUUUCUUACCAAUUUUAAGCCAACUGAGGAACACCCUUAUCCCAAUUAUUGGUUCGACUACGAUGUUCCGGUAACUUUAAACCACGCCGGGUGUUGAAAAGGUGGCCAGUUUCAGAUGCAUUGAUGUUUAGUGAUGCAGUGGACAACUGUGAGGAUGAUACAAUCAACAUGUUCCUAAACUGUGAUGCAGAAACACAAUGGGAGCAUCUAUCCGUCUCUGACCACAACUACACUUUAAAAUCACAACUCAACCUGAAGCAACCUACAUCUGAUAUGGGAAAACACUGGUGCGGUUUCCCGGACAGGGCUUAUCCUGGUCCCAGGCUAAAAUGCAUAUUUGAGCUACAAUAAUUUAAAAACACCUUUUACUGACAUACCUCAACAUAUAUGAGUGCCAUUGUUUUGUCACAAGAUGCGCACCAGUCUUGUUUUUUUGUAGGGUUUGUUUGUAAAAACUAAAAUGUCCUAAUAUAAUUAAGGCCUAGUCCUGUAAACCCUGUCCGAGAAACUGCUUCAAUGUGUUGAGCUGGCACAAAUGUACAUAUCUCUACUGAGAAACAACCAUCUUUGUCAGCUUUAAACAGGGUUGAUAUUGCAUCCAUUACACAGUCGCCAAGCACUUUACCAGUACAUACACCAACAGCUUCCAGAUAUACGCUUGGGAUCAGCUCCUGAUGACUCCGAUAAAGCUGUGUCUUAAUUUAUUGCAGGGUGGUCUUGCUUUACCUGUUGUAAAGUUACAUUAAACCUUCAUAUGUGAUCAGAUGUCAUGCAGUGAUAUUAAACAUUUACAGUGUGAUCAGAUGUUGUGCAUUUUAAUUAAACCUUUACAAUGUGAUCAGAUGUUGUGCAAUUAUAUUAAACCUUUACAAUGUGAUCAGAUGUUGUGCAUUUAUAUUAAACCUUUACAAUGUGA